AUAUUAUUAAGCGGAGGAAAAGAAACUAACAAGGAUUCCCUCAGUAACGGCGAGUGAAGCGGGAAGAGCUCAAAAUGAAAAUCGGUAGGUCAAACGACCUUUCGAAUUGUAGCCUAGAGACUCAUGGUCAGGAUGCCGCCUGGGUUCAAGUCCCCUGGAAUGGGGCGUCAUAGAGGGUGAGAAUCCCGUUCUUGAUUCAGGAUUGGCUCUGUACGACAUGAGUUCAUCGAGUCGUGUUGCUUGGGAGUGCAGCACAAAAUGGGUGGUAAAUUUCAUCUAAAGCUAAAUACAAGCGAGAGACCGAUAGCGCACAAGUA
rnacentral:rRNA from 1 species